rnacentral:rRNA from 1 species
GACGAACGCUGGCGGCGUGCUUAACACAUGCAAGUCGAACGGAAAGGCCCUGCUUUUGUGGGGUGCUCGAGUGGCGAACGGGUGAGUAACACGUGAGUAACCUGCCCUUGACUUUGGGAUAACUUCAGGAAACUGGGGCUAAUACCGGAUAGGAGCUCCUGCUGCAUGGUGGGGGUUGGAAAGUUUCGGCGGUUGGGGAUGGACUCGCGGCUUAUCAGCUUGUUGGUGGGGUAGUGGCUUACCAAGGCUUUGACGGGUAGCCGGCCUGAGAGGGUGACCGGCCACAUUGGGACUGAGAUACGGCCCAGACUGCUACGGGAGGCAGCAGUGGGGAAUAUUGCGCAAUGGGCGGAAGCCUGAUGCAGCAACGCCGCGUGCGGGAUGACGGCUUUCGGGUUGUAAACCGCUUUCGCCUGUGACGAAGCGUGAGUGACGGUAAUGGGUAAAGAAGCAACGGCUAACUACGUG